UACAGAGGUCUCAAGCGUUUGUUCGGAUUCAUUGGGCGUAAAGGGUGUGUAGGUGGCGCGCUAAGUCGGGGUGUGAAAUUUCGGAGCUUAACUCCGAAACUGCAUUCGAUACUGGCGUGCUUGAGGACUGGAGAGGAGACUGGAAUUCAUGGUGUAGCAGUGAAAUGCGUAGAUAUCGUAAGGAAGACCAGUGGCGAAGGCGGGUCUCUGGACAGUUCCUGACGCUGAGGCACGAAGGUCAGGGGGAGCAAAACGGGG
rnacentral:rRNA from 1 species